rnacentral:lncRNA from 1 species
UUUUACAAAAGACUAAGAGAAAUAAGGUUUUAACAAAAACAUUCUUAUUUCAAGAAUUAGAAUUCGAAAUGAAAGUAUUCAGUAACUAGCUACUCAUUGGCUGAGGUCCUAAACACACAUUAGAGGCACCGAAGGCACGAUCACAAACCCGAAGAUGAAUCUAAAUAACAUGCGGAGGCUCAUCACAAAAUUGUACUUGAAGGCACGUCAAAAAAUUGCACUCGGAGGUGCACAAAAUCGAAGCUAGCUUCUAUCACAAAAUUCAUGCUGACAUGGCCAACAUCAUUGUAGCAACAAUUUGUAAUUUAUAUAAGCGUNCUGGUGGAAUUAUGCUUCCCUUUUGUUUUUAUUUUUCUAAAACUCAAAUUUUGAAUGGAGGACACUAGCACGAUAGAUUGUUAUGAAAUGACACAUUUAUGCCACUUGUUUGGCCAAAAAAGAUGAAAUUUUGUUAGUUUUUUUGUUUUUUCCUUGCUUUGCUCCUUUGUUUUUAAAAAAAGAAUAAGUUUGCUUAAGUGUCGUGGCAUGGGUUUGUGCCGAAAAUUUGUUAGUACGGCACGACACGGUGCGUGAUGGGUCAUGCCGAUGCGUACUGGUCGCGAAAAAUGCAUGUGUGCCGACACAUAAUGCCAUAAAAUAUUUAUUUUCUUUAGCAACAAAAUAUUCUAAAUUUCUAAUUGCUUAUUAUGUAUCAUUAUCAAAUCUUUUGAACUACUAAUUUAAAGAACAGAGGUUGAGUUGUGCCAUAGAUACGGUGGCGGUAUCGUGCCGAUAUCUUGUUCACACGAUAUGGCACAGGCAUACGACGUGUGCUGAUGGGCAUUUAAAUCCUUGAUCUUAGGUGUCGGGAGAGCCGCACCCAAAGUUCUUGGCUGCGAUUCAUAUAGGUUGCAUAACAUUUAGCUCUGGGGCUUUUGGAGCGUCGAUUCCGCUAACCGACUCCCGAAUAGACUCUGAACAUCGCCUGAUGCUUCAAAUGUUUCAGCCCUACACAAUCCCGAAACACCAUUUUAAGUGAGGGAUAGCGGCACAUAAGUUGCAUCAUUAUAGGUGCUGGCCACAAAACUUGCCCUCCAACAGAAAAACAUCGAUUUUGAUGUCGGAACCAGCUUUGCGCAAGUCUAGCUAGAAAAAGCUUCAGGAUUGACAUUGAUAGUCUGUCACGCCCCAAAACCGAUGAGUAACAGACGCUACAUACUUGCUAGAACAACAAAUAUGUAAGGCUACAGAACCUAACAAGAAUCAAACAAAAUGAUAAUCACAAAAAUUCACUAAAUUAUGCGAUACUGAGAAAAGAACAAAACAGAAAGAAAUAAAAUCAGAUGAUAAUCCACAGGAACCCACUUUACAUCUACCUAACUAUACAGACAAAAUAACAAAAGAAAGCAACUCAAACGACAAACUACAACUAGCGUUCACUUGGUCUCCCCCUUGCUCGGCAAAAGAGUCUUGAAACCUAGAUAAGCAACAAUACACCACAUUAGUAUGAUUAAGCAUGCAAAAUAGAAAAUUUUCUAAAUAAUCAAAUAUAAAUUUUCAUACUGAAAAUAUAAUAGUGAUGAUUGAGUUUUACAAACUUUUACAUAUUACGUUUCAGAAUUUAUGAAUCUUAAACAAGCAUGUUUUACAAAAGACUAAGAGAAAUAAAAUUUUAACAAAAGCAUUCUUAUUUCAAAAAUUAGAAUUUGAAACGAAAGUCUCCAAUAACUAGCGACCCGUUGGUUGAGGUCCUAGACACAUUAGAGACACCGAAGGCAUGAUCAUGAAGCGCAAGCACUCGAGAUGAAUCUAAAUAGCACCGGGAGGCGCAUCACAAAAUUGUACCCAAAUGCGUGUCACAAAAUUGCACUAGGAGAUGCAUCAAAAAUUCGAAGAUAGCUUCCAUCACAAAAUUCAUGUUGAUAUGGCCAACAUUGUUAUAACAAUAUACCAAGAUUUUAUCAAAUAAGUACAAUUUCUAAAGCACAUAUUUUUCUAAAAAUUACACAGCAGCCAAAUAAAAUUUUUUUAGUAGUUUUUAUCUUUCGACGAUUUGUAAUUUAUAUAAGCACGCUUAGUCCUUAUUUUGAAAAACUAUACAAAAAGUGCAUUUUGUUCGGUAACAUAUUUCAAUAAUUUUUAUGAAAAAUAAACUAACAGGCGUUAGGUCGCUUACCUCUAAUUAAUCCGAGUAUCUUUCGGUCAAACAUCGAGUAUCAAAUUAAUCAACGAAAUAUUUUUGAUGGCGAUGAAGGAAACAACGACGAACGAGGUGCCUUUGGCGAUCCAACGAUGUUGGCCCCAAACAAAAAGAUGCUGACGAAGAUCAAAGAGUGCGUUAUUGGCGGCGGUGGCUUUGCUGUCGAAAGACGAGAUUGAGGAUCGUGCAAGAAAAAGAGAGAUCGCGCGCAUGUGCGAAAGAUGUGCGUGCAUAUUAGGUUGAACCAGAGCAGGAGAAAGAACAACCGGUUGGGGAGAAAAAGAGAGAUUAUUAGCCUUUUUAUUAAUUAGGGUUGCAUAAUUGCACAUAAACCCCUAGACUUUUUAAGUUGAGUAAAAUAACUUUUUUAAGUUGAGUAAAAUAAGCCUCUUUUAUCAAAUAAAUAAGAAUAAAAAAAUUGGGUAUUACAUUUUCCUCCCAACAAAAAUUUCGCCCUCGAAAUUUUUACUGUCGAGCUAAAUGAGAAGUUUUAAGAACAAAAUAAUUCAUAUUCCAUUUUAAUAUAACUUCUGUCCUCGAAAUCCGAAUAGUUUGCUCAGACAGUUGAUAUGACAAUUACUCAUUUCGUCUUAUUGUUCUGAUAUUGAAGUUCACAUGACAAUCGCUAAUAAAAUUUUAUAAAAUAUAAUCUACCUGCUUAUCUCAUAUACAAAUAUAAAAAAAAUUAAGGCUAAAUUACAGAAAACCCCUUUGUCAAUACCCGCUUUUUCACUUUCCCCCCCUGUCAUUUAAAAACCUACACUUUGCCCCUUUGAAAAAUGAGAAAUGUUCACUUUGGCCCCCCGCCGUCAGUAUUCCGUUAGGGUUCCGUUUAUAUCCUAUUAUUAUAUAUUUUUAUACCCAAAAUACCCUCACCUCCCUGCCGCCUCCUUCCUCGCCGCCCUACACCGCCGCCUCGCCCUACACAGCCGCCUCGCCCUCCUCUGCCACCUCGCCCUUGCCUACUCCUCCAUUCGCGUCUACACACAUGCUCUCGUGCUCCUUCGCCCUCGCCCUCGCACGCCUCUUCGUCCAUGCCCACUCCGAUCUCUUCCCUAUCGUCGCCGAAAUGGAGCGGCAACACGAGUGCAGGAAGAGCGUGGGAGCAUGUGGAGGAAAAUGGAGUCGGAGCUGCGGUUGAGCGAGGCGCGAAGAACGGAAGAGGAGGGGCGACGACUGAGCGAGGUUGGGGGAGAAGACGAAGAUGGUGAGGGGCAUUUUGGUCAUUUUGUCACGGUGUACCCCCCUGUGAACAUUUUUUCAUUUUUCAAGGGGGCAAAGUGUAGCUUUUUAAAUAAUGGGGAAAAAGAGGUAUUGGAUAGGGAGGUUUUCUGUAAUUUAGCCAAAAAUUAAUAUCGAUCAUCGAAUUUUACAUUGUGCUUUUGCUGUGCACUCUAAUACUUAUCGAAUAUUAAUAUCGAAUAACUCUUUAACAAAAUAAUAAUUCGUAACAUUUUGCUAGAAUUCUACUGUAUGUAAUCUCACUCCAAUUCAAUAAAAAGAUUUUCAAAUCAAAUUCUGAUCCUCCAACUUAUAUUUCAUUCAAACAAAACAGUGGAAUAAUGUCUUCAAUACUCUUGCAUCAUUCUAUUAUCGUUUACAUAUAAAAUGCUUUCCUUAUCUCACAAAUAUUUGAAAUUCCAUCAGUACAUUUCCCUUCCUUUCAUGAUAUCAAAUUUUGGUCUCUAAACGUUUAGCAAGUCACUCAUAAUUAUCCUCUACUUUUGUUUUCUGCAAAUAUUAUGCUUAUGAAAUAAUUUUCAUGAACUUCAUACAAUAUAUAUGAGAUACCAUAGAGAUUACUAAUAGUUCCUAAGUCCUGAAUCACGAAACAAGUAAAUUAUAGUCUCAAUUGUAUCAUUCUGUGAUUGUAAAAUCAAACUUAACAAUAUAAUAUUCUAGAACUCAAUUAAAUUUUGGGCUGACUAGUUAAAAUCUAAUCAUAACAUAUCCAUCAUGAAAGGACAAGACAAGUACAAUCAUCACUAACAAAAUGCCAUAUGAAGGAAUUAAUCAUAACGGAAAGGCCUAACACAAUUCGAGACAAAUCAUUAGAAAGAUUAAUCUAAUUGCAACCACAAUAUAAAAUCACCCUAUUUCAUAGGUCAAUCAAGUUGACUAAGCUAAGGGUUUGAUCAAAAAAUAGAGCAACAAUAAUACAGAUAUAAUUAAUUUAUGAAAUGAAAUACCUUCUCACGUAUAUUAAAGAUUUGCAGUAAGACAGAAACAUGUGAAAAGGCACAACAUACUUUCUCAAUCACAUAAUCAAAGAAUAAAAUAUAGCACAUUGAAAAUCGAAUUCAUAGUGAGAAACUUUUUAAUGAAAUGAACUUUAUUGAAUACAGCACAAUGACAAGAUUCUUAGCUUAUGCAUUACAAUUGUGAAUCAAAAUAAAAAGAUUAGAACCUUAACUGGAUUAACCAUAGCUCAUGAUCAAACAAAUAACAAAGAUUAGCCAACAAAAUAAAGAAGAAGAAUACACAUAAGGUCAAAACUAUUACUAAGAUAGAAAUAAUGAAUUUCAAUCACGAUUACUUAUGAUAUCAGAAUAAAAAACAUAAUCAAAAUUCUAACCUUCCAAAACCAAACCUCUACCCCACUCGCACAUUCUUGCAUGUUCUAAGAUGAACCUUAUUAGUUAUUAUCCUAUUGAUCAAUUUUCUACAAUCCCUGUAAAUCUUAAACCUAAGCUCAGAUACCCUUUUUUUGUCACGCCCCAAAUCCGAGACGUAACAGGUGCCACAUACCUACUAGAACAACAAAUAUGUAAGGCUACAAAACCUAACAAGAAUCAGACAAAACGUUAGUCACAAAAAUUUACUAAAUUAUGUGGUACAGAGCAAAGAACAAAACAAAAAAAAAACAAUCAGAUGAUAAUUCACGGAAACCCCCUUUACAUCUACAUUACUACACAGACAAAAUAACAAAAGAAAGCAACUCAAACGACAAACUUCGACUAGCGUUCACUCAGUCUCGCCCUUGCUCGGUAGAAGAGUCUCGAAAUCUGGAUAAGCAACCAUACACCACAUUAGUAUGAUUAAGCAUGCAAAACAAAAAAUUUUCUAAAUAAUCAAAUAGAAAUCUUCAUACUGAAAAUAUAAUAGUGAUGACUGAUUUUCACAAACUUUUAGAAAUCACGUUUCAGAAUUUUGAGUCUUAAAGAAGCAUGUUUUACAAAAGACUAAGAGAAAUAAGGUUUUAACAAAAACAUUCUUAUUUCAAGAAUUAGAAUUCGAAAUGAAAGUAUUCAGUAACUAGCUACUCAUUGGCUGAGGUCCUAAACACACAUUAGAGGCACCGAAGGCACGAUCACAAACCCGAAGAUGAAUCUAAAUAACAUGCGGAGGCUCAUCACAAAAUUGUACUUGAAGGCACGUCAAAAAAUUGCACUCGGAGGUGCACAAAAUCGAAGCUAGCUUCUAUCACAAAAUUCAUGCUGACAUGGCCAACAUCAUUGUAGCAACAAUUUGUAAUUUAUAUAAGCGUGCUUAACCCUUAUUCUAAAAAACUACUUAAUAAGGGAUUUCCAUUUAUAACAAAUUUCUAUAAUUUUUAUUAAAAAUAAAUUAACAGGCGUUUUGUUGCUUACCUCUAAUUAAUUCGAGUAUCAUUCGGUCAAACAUCGCUAAUCAAAUUAAUCAUCGAAAUAUUUUUUAAGACGAUAAAGGAAAACAACGACGAACGAGGUGCCUUUUGAUGAUCCAACAAUGUCGACCCCAAACAAAAUGACGACGACGACGAUGAAAGAGUGCGACGUUGGCAGCAGUGUCGAAAGACAAGAUUGAGGAUUGUGUGAGAAAGAGAGAGAUUGUGCACGUGUGCGAAAGGUGUGGCGUAAAUAAGGUUGAACGAGAGAAGGAGAGAGAACGACGGGUUAGGGAGAAAAAGAGAGAUUAGGAGCCUUUUUAUUAAUUAGGGUUGUAUAAUUGCAUAUAAA